UACAGAGGGUGCGAGCGUUGUUCGGAAUUAUUGGGCGUAAAGGGCGCGUAGGCGGUGCGGUAAGUCACCUGUGAAAUCUCCUGGCUCAACUGGGAGCUUGCAGGCGAAACUGCCGUGCUGGAGUGUGGGAGAGGUGCGUGGAAUUCCUGGUGUAGCGGUGAAAAUGCGUAGAUAUCAGGAGGAACACCUGUGGCGAAGGCGGCACUCUGGGCCGGUACUGACGCUGAGGAGCGAAAGCGUGGGGAGCAAACAGG
rnacentral:rRNA from 1 species